rnacentral:rRNA from 1 species
GACGAACGCUGGCGGCGCGCUUAACACAUGCAAGUCGAACGGAAAGGCCUGCCUUCCCUUGUGGAUUGCGGGUACUCGAGUGGCGAACGGGUGAGUAACACGUGAGUGAUCUGCCCCCAACUUGGGUAUAAGCCUGGGAAACUGGGUCUAAUUCCCGAUCGGACUGCAGGGUGGUGCCUGUGGUGGAAAACGAUUUUCUAGUGGUUGGGGAUGAGCUCGCGGCCUAUCAGCUUGUUGGUGGGGUAAUGGCCUACCAAGGCGGCGACGGGUAGCCGGCCUGAGAGGGUGGACGGCGACAUUGGGACUGAGAUACGGCCCAGACGCCAACGGGAGGCAGCAGUGGGGAAUAUUGCAGAAUGGGCGGAAGCCUGAUGCAGCGACGCCGCGUGGGGGAUGACGGCCUUCGGGUUGUAAACUCCUUUCGACCGCGAGGAAGCCACCUGGUUGGAAGGGUGGUGACGGUAGUGGUAGAAGAAGCACCGGCUAACUACGUG